UGCCAGCCGCCGCGGUAAUACGGAGGGUGCAAGCGUUAAUCGGAAUUACUGGGCGUAAAGCGCGCGUAGGCGGCCUGCCAAGUUAGAGGUGAAAUCCCGGAGCUUAACUCCGGAACUGCCUUUAAAACUGGUAAGCUAGAGGAUGUGAGAGGUGAGUGGAAUUCCGAGUGUAGAGGUGAAAUUCGUAGAUAUUCGGAGGAACACCAGUGGCGAAGGCGGCUCACUGGCUCGAUACUGACGCUGAGGUGCGAAAGCGUGGGGAGCAAACAGGAUUAGAUA
rnacentral:rRNA from 1 species